GACGAACGCUGGCGGCGUGCCUAAUACAUGCAAGUUGAGCGCUGAAGGUUGGUACUUGUACCAACUGGAUGAGCAGCGAACGGGUGAGUAACGCGUGGGGAAUCUGCCUUUGAGCAGGGGACAACAUUUGGAAACGAAUGCUAAUACCGCAUAAAAACUUUAAACACAAGUUUUAAGUUUGAAAGAUGCAAUUGCAUCACUCAAAGAUGAUCCCGCGUUGUAUUAGCUAGUUGGUGAGGUAAAGGCUCACCAAGGCGAUGAUACAUAGCCGACCUGAGAGGGUGAUCGGCCACAGUGGGACUGAGACACGGCCCAAACUCCUACGGGAGGCAGCAGUAGGGAAUCUUCGGCAAUGGACGAAAGUCUGACCGAGCAACGCCGCGUGAGUGAAGAAGGUUUUCGGAUCGUAAAACUCUGUUGGUAGAGAAGAACGUUGGUGAGAGUGGAAAGCUCAUCAAGUGACGGUAACUACCCAGAAAGGGACGGCUAACUACGUG
rnacentral:rRNA from 1 species